AUUAAAGUGCGCUUCCCUGAUCUCUGUACAAUGAAAACUGCAGUAUUACUUUGGUGUCUUCAAGUCAUUGCUGUGCCGUUUGAAUAUGAAUUGAAAUGUCCAGCGCCAGGACAUUGGCGUCUCCGAGCAAGGAAGUUUUAUUGUGGUCAAAGUUAUGUGUGUUUAUUGCGUUCACCCGAGAAUUCGUAUCGUGAGACCUGUGAUGGACUGGAUUAUAGCAGCACAGGUAGCAAACUUAUAUUCGAACCAUAUUUCAACAAAGCAG